rnacentral:rRNA from 1 species
ACCGGCGCACGGGUGAGUAACGCGUAUGCAACCUGCCUAUGACAGGGGGAUAGCUCCCGGAAACGGGGAUUAACACCGCAUGACACAACGGGGCCGCAUGGCCUUGUUGUCAAACAUUCAUGGGUCAUAGAUGGGCAUGCGUGGCAUUAGGUAGUUGGCGGGGUAACGGCCCACCAAGCCCACGAUGCCUAGGGGUUCUGAGAGGAAGGCCCCCCACACUGGUACUGAGACACGGACCAGACUCCUACGGGAGGCAGCAGUGAGGAAUAUUGGUCAAUGGGCGAGAGCCUGAACCAGCCAUGUCGCGUGCGGGACGACGGCCCUACGGGUUGUAAACCGCUUUUGUACGGGAAGAAAAACCCCGACGUGUCGGGGCUUGCCGGUACCGUACGAAUAAGGAUCGGCUAACUCCGUGCCAGCAGCCGCGGUAAUACGGAGGAUCCGAGCGUUAUCCGGAUUUAUUGGGUUUAAAGGGUGCGUAGGCGGGCUUUUAAGUCAGCGGUGAAAGUUUGGCGCUCAACGUUAAAAUUGCCGUUGAUACUGGGGGCCUUGAGUGCGGUUGAGGUAGGCGGAAUGUGGUGUGUAGCGGUGAAAUGCUUAGAUAUGCCACAGAACACCGAUUGCGAAGGCAGCUUACUAAAGCGCAACUGACGCUGAUGCACGAAAGCGCGGGGAUCGAACAGGAUUAGAUACCCUGGUAGUCCGCGCC